rnacentral:rRNA from 1 species
CCUACGGUGGCUGCAGUGGGGAAUAUUGCACAAUGGGGGAAACCCUGAUGCAGCGACGCCGCGUGAGUGAAGAAGUAUUUCGGUAUGUAAAGCUCUAUCAGCAGGAACGAGACAAGACGGUACCUGACUAAGAAGCCCCGGCUAACUACGUGCCAGCAGCCGCGGUAAUACGUAGGGGGCAAGCGUUAUCCGGAAUCACUGGGUGUAAAGGGAGCGUAGACGGGUGUGCAAGCCUGAAGUGAAAGGCGGGGGCCCAACCCCCGGACUGCUUUGGGAACUGUACGGCUGGAGUGCAGGAGAGGUAAGUGGAAUUCGUGGUGUAGCGGUGAAAUGCGUAGAUAUUAGGAGGAACACCAGUGGCGAAGGCGGUUUACUGGACUGUAACUGACGUUGAGGCUCGAAAGCGUGGGGAGCAAACAGGAUUAGAUACCCGGGUAGUC